GGAAAGCUUCAGAGACCCAGAAUUCUGGUAUGUUGAGCAAGGUAUCGCUGCACCAGACUGCGAUGGCUCUGCCUCCUUCAGGGUGGCUUUCCACCGCCGUGAUGAGAAGUGGUGGCUCCCGGUGCCUUCACAACAAAACAAGGAAGCAGCUCCAACACAAGCGUGAUUGUGCAAACCAAAUCCUGAAGGCUGCCAUGGCCAUCAACAGCAAUACUUUAGCAGAGAUGGAGGUCGCUGAACCUUAUCUUGACUCCCUACCAAAGAAUGGACGGUCAACCUUAGGUGAUAUCAUAUACCGCUACAUAACCUCUGAUCAGUUCUCCCCUGAGUGCCUUCUUGAUUGCCUGGAUCUGUCCACGGAGUACCAGGCCCUGGAAGUCGCAAACCGUGUUGAGGCGUCAGUGUAUGUGUGGCGCCGGAGGGUUGCUGCCAAACCAGUAAAUGGAUUGGGCCGAAGCAGCAGUGCUAGAUCAUCAUGGGGCAUGGUAAAGGACAUGAUGGUAGACUCGGAGAAGAGAGAGCUGCUGCUAGCUGAACAAGCAGAUCUAUAA